UGCAAGUCGAGCGGACAGAUGGGAGCUUGCUCCCUGAUGUUAGCGGCGGACGGGUGAGUAACACGUGGGUAACCUGCCUGUAAGACUGGGAUAACUCCGGGAAACCGGGGCUAAUACCGGAUGGUUGUUUGAACCGCAUGGUUCAGACAUAAAAGGUGGCUUCGGCUACCACUUACAGAUGGACCCGCGGCGCAUUAGCUAGUUGGUGAGGUAACGGCUCACCAAGGCAACGAUGCGUAGCCGACCUGAGAGGGUGAUCGGCCACACUGGGACUGAGACACGGCCCAGACUCCUACGGGAGGCAGCAGUAGGGAAUCUUCCGCAAUGGACGAAAGUCUGACGGAGCAACGCCGCGUGAGUGAUGAAGGUUUUCGGAUCGUAAAGCUCUGUUGUUAGGGAAGAACAAGUGCCGUUCAAAUAGGGCGGCACCUUGACGGUACCUAACCAGAAAGCCACGGCUAACUACGUGCCAGCAGCCGCGGUAAUACGUAGGUGGCAAGCGUUGUCCGGAAUUAUUGGGCGUAAAGGGCUCGCAGGCGGUUUCUUAAGUCUGAUGUGAAAGCCCCCGGCUCAACCGGGGAGGGUCAUUGGAAACUGGGGAACUUGAGUGCAGAAGAGGAGAGUGGAAUUCCACGUGUAGCGGUGAAAUGCGUAGAGAUGUGGAGGAACACCAGUGGCGAAGGCGACUCUCUGGUCUGUAACUGACGCUGAGGAGCGAAAGCGUGGGGAGCGAACAGGAUUAGAUACCCUGGUAGUCCACGCCGUAAACGAUGAGUGCUAAGUGUUAGGGGGGUUUCCGCCCCUUAGUGCUGCAGCUAACGCAUUAAGCACUCCGCCUGGGGAGUACGGUCGCAA
rnacentral:rRNA from 1 species